rnacentral:ncRNA from 1 species
GCGGGUUUUUUGCAGACUCCCGCCGUCGUGCUGUCCCGCCGUGGUGCCGUCUCGGUGACCCCGGUGCGCGCGAUAAGACGGUGUCCCGUCCAAGUUCUGC